UACGUAGGGUCCGAGCGUUGUCCGGAAUUAUUGGGCGUAAAGGGCUCGUAGGCGGUUUGUCGCGUCGGGAGUGAAAACUCAGGGCUCAACCCUGAGCGUGCUUCCGAUACGGGCAGACUAGAGGUAUGCAGGGGAGAACGGAAUUCCUGGUGUAGCGGUGGAAUGCGUAGAGAUCCGGAAGAACACCGGUGGCGAAGGCGGUCUGCUGGGCCAAGACUGACGCUGAGGCGCGACAGCGUGGGGGAGCAAACAGG
rnacentral:rRNA from 1 species